AUAUGGUUCUUGCCAAAACGAAAACACCGUUGGUGUUCUAAGGUCAUGUGUUCUAUACACAACUUAUCAGCUAUCUGAACAGACGAUGCAAUACAUUAUUUAACCCAACAAUCCUAGACUACUUACAAACUAUUACUACUACAGGAACCGGGUGGAGUUUUCAGUCUUUGAUGGGUCAGAGUCAGCUGUCUUUGUGGCAUUUGAUGGUGAGAUGUGUAAGCUAACCAAUGCACAUCUUAUGGUGCAGGACACAGGUGUAGAGAGACACAACCGAAGAUCUCUCCCACAGUGUUUAAAGAACUUGGUUGGCAGUACUUUCACCUUCCAGUUGAGGCUAUCCCCAUUAAACUUCUCCCCAUUCCUUAACCAAUAGUUUGAAACAGUUCUAUGUAUAUUGUUUAUGUUGUUUACUUUUUUAUAAUGGUUCUUUGGCAGAGGGGUGAUAACAACCCAGGAGAUGACAUGCCCGGAGCUAGAGCAGUGGCUACUAAGCCCUCCAAAACCAUCACCAAAGUUCCCCUGCAAAAUCCGCUAGUUGGGUGCCUGUGGAGAGAUGCAGCUGCUCAAAGAGGCGUCCAUGCAACUGUUGCUGGUGAAGUAACUAAUGAGGAAGAAGGAGUGCAGGAGGAUAGGCGCAUUGGAAAAAAAACCACAAAAUUCUUAGUUUUCUAGCUUAACGAGUGGCCAAGUCUAUAAACCCUUGGAAUAAUGGUUUACGAUUUCAUUGUUUCCUUGCAUCUUUUCGUUGCUGGGUUUUUCACAUAUUAUUGUUGCUUGGUCUUGGUCACUAUGUUUCCUAUGGGGUCAACUUUUAAAAUAAACUCACAUUUUGAUA